UAAAAGUUAGUCAUGGCAUAUUUUAUAAACAUAUUAUGCAUUGAAGUUAUAUGAUUGUCAAAUGUGACUAUUAAAGAAGUAAUGUUGAAUAAGUAAUUAAACAAAUUCAUUUGUUUUAAUUAAGCUCAUGAGCAAAGAGGAUCUAAAUCAGAUAAGGGAAAGGAGAAAGCAAUCGAGUAGCCUAUCCGCAGUUGUUCAAAUAAAUCCGAGAUUAUCAAAUUUGGCCUUUGCUCGGGGAUCGUCAACAACUCGUCACACUAUCACUAUCCACUGUUUGGUACUGCUAUGUUUUGGAUUAUUUUAUGGCAUGUAUAGAAUAAACUAGUAGCGGAAUAAUAUUCUGGUUAAUGUAUAUAAGCCAUGCGAAAAUGGCAUCUUUUGAAUUUGUACUUAUAGAAGUUUAAUUUUAUCCCUGGCUGUAUUUAGCAUUUAUCUAAA